rnacentral:rRNA from 1 species
GUCUACGGCCAUACCACCCUGAACAUGCCCGAUCUCCUCUGAUCUCGGAAGCUAAGCAGGGUCGGGCCUGGUUAGUACUUGGAUGGGAGAAAGACUGCUAUUUUUUAAU